rnacentral:tRNA from 1 species
GUAAAAUUAGUUUAAAUAAAAUAGUAGAUUGUGGUUUUACAGAUAAUUAUAUACAUAUAUGUUAUUUUACU